rnacentral:RNase_P_RNA from 1 species
GGAGUCGGCCAGACAGUCGCGUCAUUCGCAAGAAUGCCGAGGAAAGUCCGGGCUCCACAGGGCACGGUGCCAGGUAACGCCUGGGCGGCGCGAGCCGACGGAAAGUGCAACAGAAAGAUACCGCCGAUGGCUCUUCGGAGAUCAGGCAAGGGUGAAAUGGUGCGGUAAGAGCGCACCGCGAGUCUGGCAACAGACCGGCACGGCAAACCCCACCGGGAGCAAGACCAAAUAGGGACCUCAUGACGCGGCCCGCGUCGGGUCCGGGUAGGUUGCUCGAGCGUAACGGCGACGUUGCGCCUAGAGGAAUGACUGU